AGAUAAAGAAUGAAAAGAGAAUACACAACCUUGUGAUUGCUAGCAGUGAAAGCUCAGAGUUAUGACAUAACAAUUGGUUGGAAAGAACCCAAGGGGACAUGGGCACAGCAUCCCUUCCUGGGCCUCUUCCUCAGGUGGUGCGGGUGGGAAAUCAGGAAGCUCCCAGACAUGGAGCAACUCAGGUGAUCAUGGAACAGAGAGAAGAGGGGCUUGAGCAGAGAGAAUGCUUAGAGGCUAAGCGAUGGGCAAGUGAGAGGGAAAGAGCCGCGACAGAUAGAGCUGGCUGCCUAGGGGUCUCAGAGGCUUCAUCCUGCAGGCGGCAGGCGGCAGGACAAAGGGACCUUCGGACUCCAGAUCAAGAUUCCAAGGAGUUAAACGCUACCACGCAGCCCGACCUGGAUGGGAUUUGCUCCUGGGUACAAAACGGGACACUGAUCAAAAUCAACUUGGACAAGUGA
rnacentral:lncRNA from 1 species